rnacentral:rRNA from 1 species
GACGAACGCUGGCGGCGUGCCUAAUACAUGCCAGUCGAGCGGACUGAAUGGGAGCUUGCUCUUGUUCGGUCAGCGGCGGACGGGUGAGUAACACGUGGGCAACCUGCCCGCAAGACCGGGAUAACUCCGGGAAACCGGAGCUAAUACCGGAUAACACCGAAGACCGCAUGGUCUUUGGUUGAAAGGCGGCGCAAGCUGCCACUUGCGGAUGGGCCCGCGGCGCAUUAGCUAGUUGGUGAGGUAACGGCUCACCAAGGCGACGAUGCGUAGCCGGCCUGAGAGGGUGACCGGCCACACUGGGACUGAGACACGGCCCAGACUCCUACGGGAGGCAGCAGUAGGGAAUCUUCCGCAAUGGGCGAAAGCCUGACGGAGCGACGCCGCGUGAGCGAAGAAGGCCUUCGGGUCGUAAAGCUCUGUUGUGAGGGACGAAGGAGCGCCGUUUGAAGAAGGCGGCGCGGUGACGGUACCUCACGAGGAAGCCCCGGCUAACUACGUG